rnacentral:rRNA from 1 species
AAUGAACGUUGGCGGCAUGGAUUAGGCAUGCAAGUCGAGCGAGAAGAGUUUUGAAGCUUGCUUUAGAACUCGGACAGCGGCGAAAGGGAGAGUAACGCGUAGUUAUGUGCCCUAGGGUCCGGAAUAGCCACGGGAAACUGUGGGUAAUGCCGGAUAAUAUCCCCGGAUCAAAGGUGUGAUUCCGCCCUAGGAGCAGACUGCGUCCUACUAGCUAGUUGGUGGGGUAAUGGCCCACCAAGGCAAUGAUGGGUAGCGGGUGUGAGAGCAUGACCCGUCUCACUGGGACUGAGACACUGCCCAGACACCUACGGGUGGCUGCAGUCGAGAAUCUUCGGCAAUGGGCGAAAGCCUGACCGAGCGAUGCCGCGUGCGGGAUGAAGGCCCUCGGGUUGUAAACCGCUGUCGUAGGGGAGGAAGGUUCCGUGAAGAGCGGGACUUGACCUAUCCUAGGAGGAAGUACGGGCUAAGUUCGUGCCAGCCGCCGCCGUAA